AUUCCCAAACUAGCAAACUGGAAUCACCUGAUUUGAAAGUGGGAAAACUUCUUCAUCCCAACUCCUAUGAGAUUUAUUCAACUUCCUGGUGAUUCUCCACCACUUUAUGUAUCCAAAUCAAGAUUCUUACAAAGUGAUUCAUCCUGGUUUGAUUGGAAUGAUGAAGAAGCUGUCCUAUUCCCAAACUGCAAAACUGGAAUCACCUGAUUUGAAAGUGGGAUAACUUCUUCAUCCCAACUCCUAUGCGAUUUAUUCAACUUCCUGGUAAUUCUCCAACACUUUAUGUAUCCAAAUCAAGCUUCUUACAAACUUAUUCAUCCUGGUUUGAUUGCAACGACUAAGAAGCUGUCCUAUUCCCAAACUGCGAAACUGGAAAUACCUGAUUUGAAAGUGGGAUAACUUCUUAAUCCCAGCUCCUAUGUGAUUUAUUCAACUUCCUGGUGGUUCUCCACCACUUUAUGUAUCCAAAUCAAGAUUCUUACAAAGUGAUUCAUCCUGGUUUGAUUGGAAUGAUGAAGAAGCUGUCCUAUUCCCAAACUGCAAAACUGGAAUCACCUGAUUUGAAAGUGGGAUAACUUCUUCAUCCCAACUCCUAUGCGGUUUAUUCAACUUCCUGGUAAUUCUCCAACACUCUAUGUAUCCAAAUCAAGCUUCUUACAAACUUAUUCAUCCUGGUUUGAUUGCAACGACUAAGAAGCUGUCCUAUUCCCAAACUGCGAAACUGGAAAUACCUGAUUUGAAAGUGGGAUAACUUCUUAAUCCCAGCUCCUAUGUGAUUUAUUCAACUUCCUGGUGGUUCUCCACCACUUUAUGUAUCCAAAUCAAGAUUCUUACAAAGUGAUUCAUCCUGGUUUGAUUGGAACGACGAAGAAGAUGUCCUAUUCUCUAACUGGAAAACUGGAAUCACCUGAUUUGAAAAUGGGAUAACUUCUUCAUCCCAACUCCUAUGAGAUUUAUUCAACUUCCUGGUGAUUCUCCAAUACUUUAUGUAUCCAAAUCAAGCUUCUUACAAAGUGAUUCAUCUUGGUUUGAUUGAAACGACUAAGAAGCUGUCCUAUUACCAAACUGCGAAACUGAUAUCACCUGAUUUGAAAGUUGGAUAACUUCUUCAUCCCAACUCCUAUGAGAUUUAUUCAACUUCCUGGUGAUUAUCCACCACUUUAUGUAUCCAAAUCAAUAUUCUUACAAAGUGAUUCAUCCUGGUUUGUUUGCAACGACUAAGAAGCUGUCCAAUUUUCAAACUGCAAAACUGGUGUCACCUUAUUUGAAAGUGGGAUAACUUCUUCAUCCCAACUCCUAUAAGAUUAAUUCAACCACCACUUUAUAUAUCCAAAUCAAGAUUCUUACAAAGUGAUUUAUCCUGGUUUGAUUGGAACGACGAAGAAGAUGUCAUAUUCCCAAACUGGGAAACUGGAAUCACCUGAUUUGAAAGUGGGAUAACUUCUUCAUCCCAGCUCUUAUGAGAUUUAUUCAACUUCCUCGUGAUUCUCCAACACUUUAUGAAUCUAAAUCAGGCUUCUUACAAAGUGAUUCAUCCUGGUUUGAUUGGAACGACGAAGAAGCUGUCCUAUUCCCAAACUGCGAAACUCGAAUCACCUGAUUUGAAAGUGGGAUAACUUCUUCAUCCCUGCUCCUAUGAGAUUUAUUCAACUUCCUGGUGAUUAUCCAACACUUUAUGUAUCCAAUUCAAGCUUCUUACAAAGUGAUUCAUCCUGGUUUGAUUGGAACGACGAAGAAGAUGUCCUAUUCCCAAACUAGCAAACUGGAAUCACCUGAUUUGAAAAAGUGGGAUAACUUCUUUAUCCUAAGUCCUAUGAGUUUUAUUCAAAUUCCUGGUGAUUCUCCACCAAUUUAUGUAUCCAAAUCAAGAUUCAUACAAAGUUGUUCAUCCUGGUUUGAUUGGAAUGAUGAAGAAGCUGUCCUAUUCCCAAACUGCAAAACUGGAAUAUCACCUGAUUUGAAAGUGGGAUAACUUCUUCAUCCCAACUCCUAUGCGAUUUAUUCAACUUCCUUGUUAUUCUCCAACACUUUAUGUAUCCAAAUCAAGCUUCUUACAAACUUAUUUAUCCUGGUUUGAUUGCAACGACUAAGAAGCUGUCCUAUUCCCAAACUGUGAAACUGGAAAUACCUGAUUUGAAUGUGGGAUAACUUUUUCAUCCCAGCUCCUAUGUGAUUUAUUCAACUUCCUGGUGGUUCUCCACCACUUUAUGUAUCCAAAUCAAGAUUCUUACUAAGUGAUUCAUCCUGGUUUGAUUGGAACGACGAAGAAGCUGUCCUAUUCCCAAACUGCGAAGCUGGAAUCACCUGAUUUGAAAGUGGGAUAACUUCUACAUCCCAGCUCUUAUGAGAUUUAUUCAACUUCCUAGUGAUUCUCCACCACUUUAUGUAUCCAAAUCAAGCUUGUUAGAAACUGUAUUCAACUUCCUAGUGAUUCUCCACCACUUUAUGUAUCCAAAUCAAGCUUCUUACAAAGUGAUUAAUCCUGGCUUGAUUGGAACGACAAAGAAGCUGUCCUAUUCCCAAACUGCGAAGCUGGAAUCACCUGAUUUGAAAGUGGGAUAACUUCUUCAUCCCAGCUCUUAUGAGAUUUAUUCAACUUCCUAGUGAUUCUCCAAAACUUUAUGUAUCUAAAUCAGGCUUCUUACAAAAUGAUUCAUCCUGGUUUGAUUGGAACAACGAAGAUACUGUCCUAUUCCCAAACUGUGAAACUGGAAUCACCUGAUUUGAAUGUGGGAUAACUUCUUCAUCCCUGCUCCUAUGAGAUUUAUUCAACUUCCUGGUGAUUAUCCAACACUUUAUGUAUCCAAAUCAAGCUUCUUACAAAGUGAUUCAUCCUGGUUUAAUUGGAACGACGAAGAAGAUGUCCUAUUCCCAAACUGGGAAACUAGAAUCACCUGAUUUGAAAGUGGGAUAACUUCUUCAUCCCAACUCCGUGGAAUCACUUGAUUUGAAAGUGGGAUAACUUCUUUAUCCUAAGUCCUAUGAGAUUUAUUCAAAUUCCUGGUGAUUCUUCACCAAUUUAUGUAUCCAAAUCAAGAUUCUUACAAAGUUAUUCAUCCUGGUUUGAUUGGAAUGAUGAAGAAGUUGUUCUAUUCUCAAACUGCAAAACUGGAAUCACCUGAUUUGAAAGUGGGGUAACUUCUUCAUCCCAACUCCUAUGCGGUUUAUUCAACUUCCUGGUAAUUCUCCAACACUUUAUGUAUCCAAAUCAAGCUUCUUACAAACUUAUUCAUCCUGGUUUGAUUGCAACGACUAAGAAGCUGUCCUAUUCCCAAACUGCGAAACUGGAAAUACCUGAUUUGAAAGUGGGAUAACUUCUUCAUCCCAGCUCCUAUGUGAUUUAUUCAACUUCCUGGUGGUUCUCCACCACUUUAUGUAUCCAAAUCAAGAUUCUUACAAAGUGAUUCAUCCUGGUUUGAUUGGAACGACGAAGAAGCUGUCCUAUUCCCAAACUGGGAAACUGCAAUCUCAUGAUUUAAAAGUGGGAUAACUUCUUCUUGCCAACUCCUAUGAGGUUUAUUCAAGUUCCUGGUGAUUCUCCACCACUUUAUGUAUCCAAAUCAAGAUUCUCACAAAGUGAUUCAUCCUUGUUUGAUUGGAACGAUGAAGAAGCUGUGCUAUUCCCAAACUAGGAAACUGGAAUCACCUUAUUUGAAAGUGGGAUAACUUCUUCAUCCCAACUCCUAUGAGAUUUAUUCAACUUGCUGGUGAUUCUCCACCACUUUAUGUAUCCAAUUCAAGCUUCUCACAAAGUGAUUCAUCCUGGUUUGAUUGGAACGACGAAGAAGCUGUCCUAUUCCCAAACUGGGAAACUGGAAUCACCUUAAUUGAAAGUGGGAUAACUUCUUCAUCCCAACUCCUAUGAGAUUUAUUCAACUUCCUGGUGAUUCUCCACCAUUUUAUGUAUCGAAAUCAAGCUUCUGACAAAGUGAUUCAUCCUGGUUUUAUUGGAACGACGAAGAAGCUGUUCCCAAACUGGGAAUCUGGAAUCACAUGAUUUGAAAGUGGGAUAACUUCUUCAUCCCAACUCUUAUGAGAUUUAUUCAACUUCCUGAUGAUUCUCCACCACUUUAUGUAUCCAAAUCAAACUUCU
rnacentral:lncRNA from 1 species